CGAGGACGAACGCUGGCGGUGUGCCUCAUACAUGCAAGUCGAACGAGAAACUGACUUCGGUCAGUGGAAAGUGGCGGACGGGUGAGUAAUAUGUAGGAAAUCUGCCCUAGAGAGGGGGACAACAGAGGGAAACUUCUGCUAAUACCCCAUAUGAGCUUGGUUGAAAUACCAAUCUUGAAAACUCCGGUGCUCUAGGAUGAGCCUGCAUCUGAUUAGCUAGUUGGUGGUGUAAUGGACCACAAAGGCGACGAUCAGUAGCUGGUUUGAGAGGAUGAUCAGCCACAAUGGGACUGAGACACGGCCCAUACUCCUACGGGAGGCAGCAGUAGGGAAUUUUGCGCAAUGGGGGAAACCCUGAACCGCAGCAACACCGCGUGAAUGUUAAGCCCUUCGGGGUAUAAAGUUCUGUCAAUGGGGAAGAAUAAAUGACUGUACCCAUAAAGGAAGCACCGGCUAACUCCGUGCCAGCCGCAGC
rnacentral:rRNA from 1 species